rnacentral:rRNA from 1 species
AACGAACGCUGGCGGCAGGCUUAACACAUGCAAGUCGAACGCCCCGCAAGGGGAGUGGCAGACGGGUGAGUAACGCGUGGGAAUCUACCCAGUUCUACGGAAUAACCCAGGGAAACUUGGACUAAUACCGUAUACGCCCUACGGGGGAAAGAUUUAUCGGAAUUGGAUGAGCCCGCGUUGGAUUAGCUAGUUGGUGGGGUGAUGGCCUACCAAGGCGACGAUCCAUAGCUGGUCUGAGAGGAUGAUCAGCCACACUGGGACUGAGACACGGCCCAGAAUCCUACGGGAGGCAGCAGUGGGGAAUAUUGGACAAUGGGCGCAAGCCUGAUCCAGCCAUGCCGCGUGAGUGAUGAAGGCCUUAGGGUUGUAAAGCUCUUUCAGUGGGGACGAUAAUGACGGUACCCACAGAAGAAGCCCCGGCUAACUUCGUGCCAGCAGCCGCAGUAAAAC